rnacentral:rRNA from 1 species
GACGAACGCUGGCGGCGUGCCUAAUACAUGCAAGUCGAACGGACAGGUCCGGCGCUUGCUCCGCGGUCGAUUGGGGAGGGGGGGUGAGUAACGCGUGGAUAACCUCCCUGAAAGUCUGGUAUAAUCUCGGGACACGGGCGCUAACAGCGGAUAAUAUCUUGCACCAUAUUGUUCGAUAGUGAAUUUCGGUGUUUGGGGCUUUUAUAGCUGGUUCUGCGCUGGAUUAGCGGGUUGUUAAGUAAACGGGUUACCAAGGCGACGAGGCGUAGCCGACCUGAGGGGGUGAUCGGCCACCCGGGAACUGAGACACGGACCAGACUCCUACGGGAGGCAGCAGUAGGGAAUCUUCGGCAAUGGGCGAAAGUAUGACGGAGCAACGCCGCGUGAGUGAUGAAGAUCUUCGGAUCGUAAAACUCUGUUAUGAGGGAAGAACAAAUGUGUAAGUAACUGAACACUGCUUGACGGUAACGAGUCAGAAAGCCACGGCUAACUACGUG